GUCCCGGCGCGGGGCCGCGAGAUUCCAUACAAUCUUGCUAGCGCAUGCCCUUUAGAUAAAAGCUCCGGCGGUGUAAAAUGAGCGUGCGUCCUAUUAGCUAGUUGGAGAGGUAAUGGCUCACCAAGGCUACGAUGGGUAGGGGUUCUUAGUGGAAGGUCCCCCACACUGGCACUGAGAUACGGGCCAGACUCCUACGGGAGGCAGCAGUAGGGAAUAUUGGUCAAUGGGCGCAAGCCUGAACCAGCCAUGCCGCGUGCAGGAUGAAGGCUCUCUGAGUUGUAAACUGCUUUUGUACAGGAGCAAAAAAGCCCCUGCGGGGGCUCUUGAGAGUACUGUAAGAAUAAGCACCGGCUAAUUCCGUGCCAGCAGCCGCGGUAAUACGGAAGGUGCAAGCGUUAUCCGGUUUUAUUGGGUUUAAAGGGUGCGUAGGCGGCUUAUUAAGUCAGUUGUGAAAUCCUAGUGCUUAACGCUAGAACUGCGAUUGAUACUAUUAGGCUUGAGUUAAGAAGAGGUAGGCAGAAUUUAUGGUGUAGUAGUGAAGUGCUUAGAUAUCAUAAGGAAUACCAAUAGCGUAGGCAGCUUACUGGUCUUUAACUGACGCUGAGGCACGAAAGCGUGGGGAGCAAACAGGAUUAGAUACCCUGGUAGUCCACGCCGUAAACGAUGGUCACUCGAUAUACAUGAAACCUCGUGUGUGUCUAAGCGAAAGCGUUAAGUGAUCCACCUGGGGAGUAUACUCGCAAGUGUGAAACUCAAAGGAAUUGACGGGGGUCCGCACAAGCGGUGGGGUAUGUGGUUUAAUUCGAUAAUACGCGAGGGACCUUAAGGGGGCUAGAAUGUAUUUGACACCUGAAUCCCGCGGCCAGGCGGCCGGA
rnacentral:rRNA from 1 species